UUUCCGUUUGCUUCUUCUCAUUUUUGGUGUUUUUUUUAGGGGUUUUGAUUUCAGAAGAAAGAAGAAAGUAAACGAUAAAUCUUUUCGAAAGAUUUACAUGUGGUGACCAUUGUUUAUGAUUUUAGUGCUUUUAUCAUGAAACUCCAAUCAGUUCAGGGACAAUUGUGGCUCAGAGAUGAAUAUUCUUUAUCCUAGAGAUCCAGGUUUUUGGUGUCAUGGUGUGAAGAUGUUCAUGUUUAUUUCCUUCUUUCAGUUUCUUUCCUUUUGAUCUAUAAUAUGAGACUGUAAAAGUUACACUUUCUGGUGA